rnacentral:rRNA from 1 species
GUCCUGGCAGUAAACGGUGCGCGUUUGGUGUGGGAGGAUUCGACCCCUUCCGUGCCGGAGCUAACGCGUUAAACGCGCCGCCUGGGGAAUACGAUCGCAAGAUUAAAACUCAAAGAAAUUGACGGGGCCCGCACAAGCGGUGGAGUAUGUGGCUUAAUUCGAUGCAACGCGAAGAACCUUACCUGAGCUUGACAUGCAUCUCUAAGUCGGUGAAAGCCGGCGAGUGUAGCAAUACACAAUUUGCACAGGUGCUGCAUGGCUGUCGU